CUUGAUGGUGAGCUCUGAUUUAACCUACUAAGGACUGUCUUACUUGGCUACUUUGUGACGUCAGCACUUGACAUUCAGCUAGCCAUUUCAGUGUGCGCCAUUGGAAAAUACAGUCUCAUAAUCCCUUCAAUAUUUACAUUCUUCAGCGAUGAACCGUAGCAAUUGAAUGAUGCCGCUUAAGAAUUCAUGUUGGAGUGGCACUUCCGGAGACUCAUAUAUUAAAAAUCCAACCUAGGAAGCGCAAGGCCCUGGGUUCGGUCCCCAGCUCCGAAAAAAAGAACAAAAAAAAAAAAAAAAUCCAUCUCGUCUGCCAUUGUUUGCUAAGCUAAAAGAGCAGCCCUCCCCUCCCAUAGGAUAAGCCGAGGAGGAUGAUUCACGCAACCCCAGUCCAGCAUGUGACCUGUAGCCGAGAGGAAUGAUUGUGUACCAUCCGUGGGACAUCUGUGGCUCUUAGGCUCCCGAGCUUCCAUGCUGUCUAGCCAUUUGUAGUUUAUCUGCUGGGCUUUUAAGCCUUUCAGGAGAUAAUCUCGCCGCUGUGGAAUGCUGUGUUUGUAGAAGCAUUUUGCUUUCACUCACUGCAUAUCAGCAGAACUCCCUGUGAGCUAGGCAGACAUAUUGGGUUGAGCACAAACAGGGCUGGCUGGUGCAGGACCCGGCCAGCCCUCGGAAGAGAAGCACAUUACCAAACCACGGAACUGCUAAACUGCUGUAUCUUUUAUGAUAAAUAAGAUAGAAGAUCGAUCAAAUCCAGUGGAAUUCUGAUAAGCCACACCAUGCUUCCUCGAAAAUGUCUUUGGAGGAGGGGGACGACGAACAAAACCUGCCAUUAAAAUUUUAUGUAGGGCUGGAGAGAUGACUCAGAGGUUAGGAACACUGGCUGCUCUUCCAGAGGUCCUGAGUUCAAUUCCCAGCAACCACAUGGUGGCUCACAACCAUCUGUAAUGGGAUCUGAUGCCCUCUUCUGGUGUGUCUGAAGAGAGGGACAGUGUACUCACAUAUGUAAAAUAAAUAAAUCUUUUUAAAAAG